AACGAACGCUGGCGGCAUGCCUAACACAUGCAAGUCGAACGAGACCUUCGGGUCUAGUGGCGCACGGGUGCGUAACGCGUGGGAAUCUGCCCUUGGGUUCGGAAUAACAGUGAGAAAUUACUGCUAAUACCGGAUGAUGUCUUCGGACCAAAGAUUUAUCGCCCAGGGAUGAGCCCGCGUAGGAUUAGCUAGUUGGUGGGGUAAUGACCUACCAAGGCGACGAUCCUUAGCUGGUCUGAGAGGAUGAUCAGCCACACUGGGACUGAGACACGGCCCAGACUCCUACGGGAGGCAGCAGUGGGGAAUAUUGGACAAUGGGCGCAAGCCUGAUCCAGCAAUGCCGCGUGAGUGAUGAAGGCCUUAGGGUUGUAAAGCUCUUUUACCCGGGAUGAUAAUGACAGUACCGGGAGAAUAAGCUCCGGCUAACUCCGUG
rnacentral:rRNA from 1 species